ACGGAAGGCAGCAGUGGGGAAUAUUGCACAAUGGGGGAAACCCUGAUGCAGCGACGCCGCGUGAGUGAUGAAGUAUUUCGGUAUGUAAAGCUCUAUCAGCAGGGAAGAUAAUGACGGUACCUGACUAAGAAGCCCCGGCUAAAUACGUGCCAGCAGCCGCGGUAAUACGUAUGGGGCAAGCGUUAUCCGGAUUUACUGGGUGUAAAGGGAGCGCAGGCGGUUUUGUAAGUUGAGUGUGAAAGCCCGGGGCUCAACCCCGGGACUGCACCCAAAACUGCAGGACUAGAGUGUCGGAGGGGCAAGCGGAAUUCCUAGUGUAGCGGUGAAAUGCGUAGAUAUUAGGAGGAACACCGGUGGCGAAGGCGGCUUGCUGGACGAUAACUGACGCUGAGGCUCGAAAGCGUGGGGAGCAAACAGGAUUAGAUACCCUGGUA
rnacentral:rRNA from 1 species